rnacentral:rRNA from 1 species
UCCGUAGGUGAACCUGCGGAGGGAUCAUUAACGAGUUAUACAACCCCUAAACCCUUUGUGAACCUUACCACUUACGUUGCUUCGGCGGAACGCGCUGGUGUCGCCCUCACGGGUGCCCCAGGUCAACGCGCCCGCCGGAGACCAUAAACUCUUGAUUUUGCGAAAGCAGUAUUCUUCUGAGUGGCCGAAAGGCAAAAAAAACAAAUGAAUCAAAACUUUCAACAACGGAUCUCUUGGUUCUGGCAUCGAUGAAGAACGCAGCAAAAUGCGAUAAGUAAUGUGAAUUGCAGAAUUCAGUGAAUCAUCGAAUCUUUGAACGCACAUUGCGCCCGCCAGCAUUCUGGCGGGCAUGCCUGUUCGAGCGUCAUUUCAACCCUCGACUUCACGUCUUUACGGACGAGAAGCCGGUGUUGGGGCGCGGCGAUCGAGCCUAGCUCGCGCCGGCUCCGAAAUUUAGUGGCGGCCCGUUGCGGCGACCUCUGCGUAGUAACUUAACCUCGCACUGGGACAGCAGCGCGGCCACGCCGUAAAACCCCCGACUUUUUUUAAGGUUGACCUCCAAUCAAGUAGGACUACCCGCUGAACUUAGCAUAUCAAUAAGCGCAGGAAAGGGCAGCUUGGCGAAAUCAUGGGUCAUAUUAGUUU